CCAAGACAGAUGCCAAUGGCGGAAUCAGAGCUCCAUAAGUCAACGUGCCUUUGAGAAUCUGUCAGGGGCUCUUGGAGAUCAUUUGAGCCAAAAUAAAUGCCAAGUGUGUCACCUUCUGCUCCAAGUACCCACAAUGCAAAGUCGAUGUGAGUUCUUUCCUCGAUGUCAUCAUACAUUCCACUAAAUUGCUUUCACGCGUAAAUCUGGCACAGGAAGCUGGAGAUCGAGAUUAGAAUGAGGAAACGCAGACGGCCUUUCUCUGCAACUAGUGCAUUUCAUGUGGUCUUCUGAAAAUUACUUACCCUUUCUCAUCUUGACAUAUCUACUAUUUCGUCACUGCAAUUUUUAAAAAAGGAAAAAAUCUUCUAUGUCUUUCCUCCAUGUGACGUUUAAGGACAGAUGAGAGUCUGUGGAAACCAGAG
rnacentral:lncRNA from 1 species